UACGUAGGGGGCAAGCGUUGUCCGGAUUUAUUGGGCGUAAAGAGCGUGUAGGCGGCCUGGUAGGUCAGUUGUGAAAACUCGAGGCUCAACCUCGAGACGUCGGCGGAAACCAUCUGGCUAGAGUCCGGAAGAGGAGAGUGGAAUUCCUGGUGUAGCGGUGAAAUGCGCAGAUAUCAGGAAGAACACCCGUGGCGAAGGCGGCUCUCUGGGACGGUACUGACGCUGAGACGCGAAAGCGUGGGGAGCGAACAGG
rnacentral:rRNA from 1 species